CACAAAGGAGUUUCAUUAUAACUGGCUAUAUAUAUUUAUCCUCAAGCAUUUCUAAGGGAAAAAGAAUGGGAAUAUUAAAUGCUCAAGUUCUGUGUAUCUUUGGCACCAUCAUAUGUUUUGCUUCAACUUCAUAUACUUACCAAGGGACGGCCAGCUUCUACAAGCCUCCUUACGUUCCCUCUGCAUGUGACGGAUAUAGAGAUGAUGGUAGUUUUAUAGCCGGAGCAAGUGAUGCUUUAUGGAAAAAUGGGGCAGCAUGUGGGAAAGUUUACUUGGUGUACUGUACUGGUGCCACAAACCAAGCACCACAACCUUGUACGGAUGCCGCUGUUGUGGUCAGAAUUGUUGAUUAUUGUCCACAGGGAUGCCGGGGAACCAUUAAUCUUUCAGAAGAUGCUUUCUCUGUGAUUGCUAAUCUCAGUGCUGGAGUAAUUAAGGUUGAGUACUUUGAAGAGUAAUAAACAAAGUGGAAGAAUUGAGAAGGUCUAGUAAGGGCAAGUUAUGAUGAUACUGAAAUCACGAUGGCUCAUUUUCUAGCCUUUGAGCCAAGAAGCUUCGGCUAAUUUUCAGCAUUUUUUUUCUCUCUUUUAUGCGUUCUACAACUUCUACUGGUUGGAAUAUGGGACUAGCUAAAUAUGUUAGGCACUUUUUUGCUUUUAAAGGCUUUGUAAAUAAUUAAUGUUAGAAAAUAUAUAUAUUUUUAUCCUACAA